rnacentral:rRNA from 1 species
UUAACCUAGCGGCGGACGGGUGAGUAAUGCUUAGGAAUCUGCCUAUUAGUGGGGGACAACAUCUCGAAAGGGAUGCUAAUACCGCAUACGUCCUACGGGAGAAAGCAGGGGACCUUCGGGCCUUGCGCUAAUAGAUGAGCCUAAGUCGGAUUAGCUAGUUGGUGGGGUAAAGGCCUACCAAGGCGACGAUCUGUAGCGGGUCUGAGAGGAUGAUCCGCCACACUGGGACUGAGACACGGCCCAGACUCCUACGGGAGGCAGCAGUGGGAAUAUUGGACAAUGGGGGGAACCCUGAUCCAGCCAUGCCGCGUGUGUGAAGAAGGCCUUUUGGUUGUAAAGCACUUUAAGCGAGGAGGAGGCUACCGAGAUUAAUACUCUUGGAUAGUGGACGUUACUCGCAGAAUAAGCACCGGCUAACUCUGUGCCAGCAGCCGCGGUAAUACAGAGGGUGCAAGCGUUAAUCGGAUUUACUGGGCGUAAAGCGCGCGUAGGUGGCCAAUUAAGUCAAAUGUGAAAUCCCCGAGCUUAACUUGGGAAUUGCAUUCGAUACUGGUUGGCUAGAGUAUGGGAGAGGAUGGUAGAAUUCCAGGUGUAGCGGUGAAAUGCGUAGAGAUCUGGAGGAAUACCGAUGGCGAAGGCAGCCAUCUGGCCUAAUACUGACACUGAGGUGCGAAAGCAUGGGGAGCAAACAGGAUUAGAUACCCUGGUAGUCCAUGCCGUAAACGAUGUCUACUAGCCGUUGGGGUCUUUGAGACUUUAGUGACGCAGCUAACGCGAUAAGUAGACCGCCUGGGGAGUACG